UCCAUGACUGGGUGUGUAUUGCUAGAGUCUGCAUGGUUAUGGUACAGAAAGUAUUUACUGAGAUCAUCGAGCUCUUGCAUUUCAGAAAGCAAAUAUUUGCUUUUAUUCACAGGUUAAGUCUCUGAGACCUUCAAAGAGGAAUGAAAUCACACAAGAGCUACA
rnacentral:lncRNA from 12 species